GACAGAGGAUGCGAGCGCUAAUCGGAAUUACUGGGCGUAAAGCGUGCGUAGGCGGUUAUUUAAGUCGGGUGUGAAAGCCCCGGGCUCAACCUGGGAAUUGCAUUCGAGACUGAAUAGCUAGGGUACGGUAGAGGGAAGUGGAAUUUCCGGUGUAGCGGUGAAAUGCGUAGAUAUCGGAAGGAACAUCAGUGGCGAAAGCGACUUCCUGGACCAGUACCGACGUUCAGGCACGAAAGCGUGGGGAGCAAACAGG
rnacentral:rRNA from 1 species